UUAAAAUGCCUCUCAAGGUGCCGAGCAGAGUGCCUUACUUUCAGUCAGUGGCCAGUACUUAUUUGGUGAACAAAUGAGUUCCCACUGCGCUCAGGAUGGCAUUUACAGGACCUGGCCUGCCUGGUAUGAAUUCACACCACACUCCUUCUCACUGCCUACCUGAAGAACUGACACGAGCUGCACAACAGACACACUUCAGUGAAGUUUUCACGAUGC